CUCACUUCUAUGGUCGGUAACUCCAUCCCAACUCUGCACAACAAAGUUUCAAGCUCAAAACUCUCAAGAAACCGAACAUCACAAAAGGCUUUGAGACAUCAACGACUCUUUUUCCGUUCUCGGUGAUGGACUUAUCGCCAUCAUCGAUAAGAGUCGAUCUCAUACGUUUUGCAGUUGGUUCAUAUAUUGAAGAGUUGCUUCUGAAACUAGAAGUGUGUCUCCGGAACGAUGAUCUGAUGCUUCUUCCAAUCUCUGCUAGCUCAACUCUCA